rnacentral:misc_RNA from 1 species
AACGCACCUUGCGCCCUUUGGCUAUUCUGAAGGGCAUGCCUGUUUGAGUAUCAUGAACACCUCAACUCUCAUGGGUCUGCCCAUGAUGAGCUUGGACUUUGGAGGUCUUGCUGGCCAAGUGUCGGCUCCUCUCAAACGGAUCAGCUUGCCAGUGUCUGGUGGCAUCACGGGUGUGAUAACUAUCUACGCUUGUGGUUUUCCGCCAUGUAACCUUCAGUGAUGGGGGUUCGCUGGAGCUCACAGAUGUCUCUCCUUGGUGAGGACAGCUUUUUGAACGUUUGAUCUCAAAUCAGGUAGGACUACCCGCUGAACUUAA